rnacentral:rRNA from 1 species
AAAACGACUCUCGGCAACGGAUAUCUCGGCUCUCGCAUCGAUGAAGAACGUAGCGAAAUGCGAUACUUGGUGUGAAUUGCAGAAUCCCGUGAACCAUCGAGUCUUUGAACGCAAGUUGCGCCCCAAGCCGAUAGGCCGAGGGCACGUCUGCCUGGGUGUCACGC